GGUGAUGAUCCAGAGCAGCUGGUCUCAGGAAAUGAAGAAAACCCUGAUCACCUUUUCCACAGAAACAAGAAUAAAUUACGACUAGUCUCAAUGGCUGAGAUGGAGGAGGAACACAGCGACACGUUAACCCGACUGCUGCAGUUCCUGUAUGAACUGAGCAACUCUAAAAAUCCAAGGAAAAAGCUGAGUGUAUUUUAUUUAAAGCUCAGAUGGACCUUGCUGCAUUCAGGACUUUGUCACACUGGUAUAUGAAGAGUGGUAACAAGAGAAAUUGUGCACACACAACGUGUCACUUUAUGCUUGCUCUUCUCCAGUCUCUGGUGUCACUUUGUAGUAAUUAGUCUUACUAUUGUCUUAUUUGUGGUGAUUUAGGGUGUGUGCGCACAAGCAGAGGUUUUUGUUUGUAACCGUAACCUCGUUUUCAGAGCCUUGUCUAACAUUUAAUGGUCGUGAAAUAUGUCAGACUUUUUCCUCUACUUAAACAGCUAAGAGCAUUUAAACACAGUGGAGAAAAAGGUGUGCAUUAAGGAUUUUGAACUAUGAUGUUUAAGUGUUGUCACUGCUGAGGAUCCUUAUUCACUACGCUGCUGUUUACAGUUUAACUUUUCAUCAGAACAAGCACUUCUAAUUGUACUUUGCUCCUCACUGACAAAACAAGUCCAGUAAAUGCACUUUUAUCUUCAAGUUUGGGACAGUAAUCUGUCUUAAUUUAUUUUGUGCUUUAGUUAUCAUAUGGGGAAAAGUUUUGUGGUUAUCUAUCCGUUCUGUUUGCAUAAACCCAAAGUUCAGGAACAUCUUCUUUAGAUCUGUUCAGUUUUAUUCAUGUGGCACGACUUAAACAGUCAAGUAUGUUAUAUUGUAAAGUAAAGACCCCAAAGAGUUAAUCUCGGACAAAUGUUCACACAAAUGUGAAUUACAUUCACUUCAUUAAUGAAGUAAAUGCAAUUCAGUAAUCAAAUGUGUUUGGCUAUAACUGACUACAUGUGUAUACUGUACCAUAAGUGGACAGACAUGGAUGUAAACCACACCUUAACCAUUUGGCUGAAGCAAAACUACCACAAGGCAGUGAUUCUAACUAAAAGGUACUCUGGAUAUUAUUAAAUGUGAACAUAUCGUUAAAUAUGACUUAACUAUAUUUUUUGUUUGUCAGGUGUCCUGUUUGAAGAAAACACUUGGUAGCCACUUGAAUGAAUGUAAACAAACACAUUUACAUGAGGACAACCUGAUUUCAAGGAAAUAAAAAUGCUUAAAUUUGAAA